rnacentral:rRNA from 1 species
CUAGAAUAAAAGUAGUUAUAUUCUUCAUAACUCAAAGAAUUUGGCGGUUAAUAAAAGUUUUUAGAGGAACCUGUAUUUUAAUUGAUAAUCCACGAUAGUUUAUACCUAAAAAUUUAUUUGUAUAUCUCUAUGGUUAUAUAGAUUGUUCUUAAAAGAAAUUUUCUUUAUGCUUAUACAUGUAUUUUAGGUCAAGGUGCAGUUUUUUUUAGGGAAAUAUGGGUUACAUUAUUAAUAAUAUUUUGAUCAUAAUUUAUAUUUAUAUAUAAAUAUGCUUAGGAUUUAAAAGUAAAAUAAUUUAAUUUGUUUGUUUGAAUUUU